rnacentral:sRNA from 1 species
GUAUGUUGUUUGAGUAUCCUGAAACGGGCUUUUCAGAUCAACAUACCAGAUUAGUUAAAUAAUAGGAGUGCAUAGUGGCCCGUAUUGCAGGCAUUAACAUUCCUGAU